UACAGAGGUCUCAAGCGUUGUUCGGAUUCAUUGGGCGUAAAGGGUGCGUAGGCGGCGCGGUAAGUCGGGUGUGAAAUCUCGGAGCUUAACUCCGAAACUGCAUUCGAUACUGCCGUGCUUGAGGACUGGAGAGGAGACUGGAAUUUACGGUGUAGCGGUGAAAUGCGUAGAUAUCGUAAGGAAGACCAGUGGCGAAGGCGCCACUCUGGGCCGGUACUGACGCUGAGGAGCGAAAGCGUGGGUAGCAAACAGG
rnacentral:rRNA from 1 species